rnacentral:rRNA from 1 species
UACAGAGGUGGCAAGCGUUGUUCGGAAUUACUAGGCGUAAAGCGCAGGUAGGCGGUUGGGUAAGUCUCUAAUGAAAUCUCCCGGCUUAACUGGGAGGGGUUUAGGGAUACUGCCUGACUCGAGUGUGGUAGAGGUAACUGGAAUUCCCGGUGUAGCGGUGAAAUGCGUAGAGAUCGGGAGGAACACCGAUGGCGAAGGCAGCUCGCUGGGACGGUACUGACGCUGAGGCGCGAAAGCGUGGGGAGCGAACGAGG